rnacentral:rRNA from 1 species
GACGAACGCUGGCGGCGUGCUUAACACAUGCAAGUCGCACGGAGUGGCGAACGGUUUAGUACCACGUGGGUGAUCUGCCUUGCACUUCGGGAUAAGCUUGGGAAACUUGGUCUAAUACCGGAUAGUGCAAGAUGCGCUCGCGGCCUAUCAGCUUGUUGGUGGGGUAAUGGCCUACCAAGGCGUCGACGGGUAGCCGGCCUGAGAGGGUGUACGGACACAUUGGGACUGAGAUACUGCCCAGACCCCUACGGGAGGCAGCAGUGGGGAAUAUGGCACAAUGGGCGGAAGCCUGAUGCAGCGACGCCGCGUGGUGGAUGAAGGCCUUCGGGUUGUAAACUCCUUUCGACAGGGACGCGGUACCUGUAUAAGAAGCACCUGCUAACUACGUGCCAGCAGCCGCGGUAAGAC